rnacentral:rRNA from 1 species
GAUGAACGCUGGCGGCAUGCCUAACACAUGCAAGUCGAUCGGUAAGGCUCUUCGGAGUACCCGAGAGGCGGACGGCUGAGUAACGCGUAGGAACACACCCUGCAGUGAGGGAUAAGACACCGAAAGGUGUUCUAAUACCGCAUACGGUCUUCGGAUUAAAGCAUUUAUGCGCUGAAGGAGUGGCCUGCGUCAUAUUAGAUAGUUGGUGAGGUAAUGGCUCACCAAGUCGAUGAUGUGUAGCUGGUCUGAGAGGAUGAUCAGCCGGACUGGAACUGAGACACGGUCCAGACUCCUACGGGAGGCAGCAGUGAGGAAUAUUUCACAAUGAGCGAAAGCUUGAUGGAGCAAUGCCGCGUGCAGGAUGAAGGCCCUCGGGUUGUAAACUGCUUUUAUAAGAGAAGAUUAUGACGGUAACUGAUGAAUAAGGGACGGCUAACUACGUG